ensembl:lncRNA TTTY9B testis expressed transcript, Y-linked 9B
AACAACAGCCCUGCUCUGGUCCCUCCAAAAGCCGACGAAUCCACACAAGACUAAAGAUGAAGAAGAGGACAACAAGCCCAGCUCUAAUCACACUCCAGAAGAUAACUAGUCUACGCACAGCCAAAACUUAAAAACUCAUCAGUCUUUCCCAGAGACAGAUUGAACUUCAAGGUAAAAGUGAAUUUUCAGAUGCGGACAAGCUAACUUCUAAGGAUUAUGAGUAAUUCGACUCAUCUUUUAAAUAUCCAGAAAACCUCAUUUUUAGUGAAAGAGUGGAGAUAAAAGAAUAUUAAGAGUCCAGAAACUGGUGUUCUGGCUGUGGCCCUGCCUUAGACUGUCUCACUUUGUAGUCACUUUAUGCAGGAAACGUGCCCGGGCAUCUUGAAAUGGAUGAGUUCUCUUCUGGAGAUAUGUCUCAUGUGUACGCAUAUCUGGAGAUAUGCCUCUUGUGGGUGCUGCUGCAGCUGCUGUGCCCAUCUCAUAUCAAUACCCAAGCUUUUCUCAUGACGAACCAGAUGACUCUUGGUAACCAGGUUUGCUCCCCAGCUUCUAAUUUCAAUAUGAUGAGAAGUUACAUAACAUUUACUCCUUUGUAAAGGUUUCUCUGUCAUCAGACAAAACUCUGAAUAGAAACCGGUGGGUAAUCCAGUGUACUGGUUUUUCCUAAUGUAUUUGGUACUAUAGUGUAUGAACCGAGAAUAAUCGAGUCAAGUGAAACCCCCUUUUCCAGUCAUAAAAUGUCUCAUUCAUUAUACUAAAAGGAGCUGUUCUUUUAAAAAAGCCUUCUUAUUUUUCUACUAAAUUUUUAGAUAAGUAUAACCUACUAUAUUCCUCAAAUCUAGGCUUACAUUUGAGAAGGGUAAGCUGUGUUUUUUCCUCCGAAGAGUUGGGCUGUGAUCUUUACAACGAGACGUCGUUUUUCCCAGCAUAUUUCUGUUUUCUACCUAAACAUUAAGAUACACAUUUUUCUAGGCAUUAGAAAUAGUACAAUAUUGCCUGUGGUCUUUCCAUUUGACACCUGUGGCUGGAAUAUAUGUGUCGCUCCAGAAUUUAUAUGUUGGAAUUUAAAUGCCCCUGUGUGAUAGAAUUAAAAAGUGGGGACUUUGGGAGGAGGUUAAGAGUGCAAUUAGAGACCUUAUAAAAGAACUCAAUGGAAGUAGCUAGGCUUUUUAGCCCUUCCACCAUUAGAGGACACUGUAUUUGUCCUCUCUGGAGAACACAGCAACAAGGUGCCAUCUUGGAAGAAGAGACCCACCUUCACCAGACAUUGGACCUAUUAGUGCCUUGAUCUUGGACUUCCCAGUGUCUAAAACUGUAAGAAAUUUAUUUCUUUCCAGUUUCAUAAGUUACCCAGUCCAAGGUACUGUGUUAUAGCAUCAGGAACAUACUGAGAUGGCAUAUUUAUUGUGGAAAUUUUGGUCCUCAUACUUAAUGAAUGGGCUUCAAGUAUUUCGUUAGUUUUUAAAAACAGGGCUCCUCCUUUACAAUUGAUCUCAUUUUUAUUUUUUAAAAGUUAGCUUUUACAACAUAGAACUGGAAAAAAUCUCUACUCAGACCUCUAGAGUGUCCUAGAUUUUGUGGCAGAAUCACUAUGGAUAAUUUAUAGGUGCUUGUGAUCUCAUCUGUGUAUUAUUUAC